rnacentral:lncRNA from 1 species
UGGUGUAGUUCGCUAAGCGACCAGGAGUUCGCUGUAGCGAACAGGUUCGCCGAAGCUCGCCAAAGCUCGCCAUGAGCAGGUGACUUCCUGGUGUGGUUCGCCAAGUCUCGCUAAGCCCUCGCUUAGCGAAGGCCUCUGUGACAGCAAUUUUUGCUGAUAUUUGUAAAGUGUGUGUAUCCAUGUAUUUGGUUUCGUUUUGGUUUGGAAUUAUUAUAUGUUUAAUAAUUGUGUUGUGUAAUGGCAUUUAUAUAAAAUGUCAAAGAAGUAUAUGUAUGUUUGUAUAUCGGGUAGUCCGAUAAAGAAGAAUAUCAGUUUGUCUGAUAAAGAAGUUUAAUGGAUUAUGUUAUCCAUGUAGUGAGCAGUAGCUUCGUGCUAAGUGAUUAUCAUAUGUUUGGUAAAUGCAUGGCAUUCAUAAAUUCAUGCAUUAUUUAGGGAUAUCAGACUUGUCUGAUAAAGAAGGAUAUUGGACUUGUCCAUUAAAGAAGGAUAUCAAUGGUAAGUUCCUUGAUAAAGAAGAUGGUACCACAUGCAUUAGUCGUG